ACAUCGACCCUCUCUGGAGCACUCGAGAGAGCUUCCGUUUAACAUUAAGAGGAGUGGUUCGGGAUCAAGAUGGAUGCUGACGGAACAUCUUGACCAUUGUACCAAGAAAAAAGAAGGAAUCUUCGGACAUCAGCAGGACUAAUUGUAUUAAUCAACUGAUUUCGACGAAGAUCUUUAACAUUCUACCAAGAAAAAGAAGGAGUCUUUUGACAUCAGGAGGACUGGUUGCAUCCAUCG